rnacentral:rRNA from 1 species
UACCUACGGGAGGCAGCAGCCGCGGUAAUACGUAGGGAGCGAGCGUUGUCCGGAAUUACUGGGUGUAAAGGGAGCGUAGGCGGGGAAGCAAGUCAGAUGUGAAAACCACGGGCUCAACCUGUGGCCUGCAUUUGAAACUGUUUUUCUUGAGUACUGGAGAGGCAGACGGAAUUCCUAGUGUAGCGGUGAAAUGCGUAGAUAUUAGGAGGAACACCAGUGGCGAAGGCGGUCUGCUGGACAGCAACUGACGCUGAGGCGCGAAAGCGUGGGGAGCAAACAGGAUUAGAUACCCCAGUAGUCCAAAG